CUCAACUAAAGCAUUUACUAGUCCCAGUAUAGGCGAUAGAAAAGACACCAUUGGAGCGAUAGAGACUACGUACCGUAAGGGAAAGAUGAAAUAGUAAUGAAAAAAUAAGCUAAAAACAGCAAAGAUCAACCCUUGUACCUUUUGCAUCAUGGUCUAGCAAGAAAAACCAAGCAAAAUGAAUUUAAGUUUGCCACCCCGAAACCCAAGCGAGCUACUUACGAGCAGCUAUUGUUGAGCGAACCCGUCUCUGUUGCAAAAGAGUGGGAUGACUUGUUAGUAGAGGUGAAAAGCCAAUCGAGCUGGGUGAUAGCUGGUUGCCUGUGAAACGAAUCUAAGUUCACUCUUAAUUCUUCUCCAAGGAACAUCAAAACCCUAAUGAAGCGAAUUAAGGGCUAUUUAAAGGGGGUACAGCUCCUUUAAAAAAGAAUACAAUCUCUACGAGCGGAUAAAUAAUUGUAAUACAAAAUUACUGUGGGCCCUCAAGCAGCCAUCAACAAAGAGUGCGUUAAAGCUCUGUACGACAAAAAUAUAAGAACUAUAUGACUCCCUCCCCAUUAACAGGCUAACCUAUGCCAAUAGGAGAAUUAAUGCUAGAAUGAGUAACCAGGGUUCUCCCUCUUCGACGCAAGCUUACAUCCGUACAUUAUUAACAAGCCACCAUAUACGA
rnacentral:rRNA from 1 species